UACAGAGGUCCCAAGCGUUGUUCGGAUUCAUUGGGCGUAAAGGGUGCGUAGGUGGCGCUGUAAGUCGGGUGUGAAAUUUCGGAGCUUAACUCCGAAACUGCAUUCGAUACUGCGGUGCUUGAGGACUGGAGAGGAGACUGGAAUUCAUGGUGUAGCAGUGAAAUGCGUAGAGAUCAUGAGGAAGACCAGUGGCGAAGGCGGGUCUCUGGGCUGACACUGACGCUCAUGCACGAAAGCGUGGGGAGCAAACAGG
rnacentral:rRNA from 1 species